CUGAUAUUACCAUACUGCCGCUACCAGUCUGACCAAGAAAACUUCUGCACAUUGAUGGGUGGAAGCUAUAAGCUGAUAUGGGACAACACGUACUCAACCUUUUUUAAAAAGGUAGUGUGAUACAAGGUAGAUUGUAUACCACCAGU